rnacentral:misc_RNA from 1 species
CUUACAACGUUUUUUAUGUUAAUAUGUAGAUGCGUACGGAAAUAAUACAACUCAAUACUCGACAGAGAUGCCAGUUACCCUCUGAUGCUGCAUGUGAAUAAUUAAGGGUCUAAGCAAGGAGCACCGGCAUUUAAUACUGUUAUACAAAUAUCCCUCAUUACCGUGUCCGGUCCGUGAUUAUUAACUAAUCAAUCAGUAUGACAUCAGCGGCCAUAUAUGGGGAACCCAUUUACGGGUGAUAUCCAGGACGCCUGGGUAGGCAGUCCUAGACCGUAUGUUGGCUUUAGGACUUGGG